GAGCCUGCCUCUGGGUAAGCCUCCUGCUGCCUGCACUUGUCCCUCAGCCCUCUUAGGGGAGAGCCGGCGGCAUGAUGCGACCUUGAGCAGGUCCCUUCUCCCUGGGUCCCAGAUUUUAUCAAACGAGGGCUUAGACUUGCUCUUAGCAGAAGAUCCCCUUCUUCCUCUCCCUCAUCAUAUCUGUCUGGGCAUUCCAAGCAUCAGGGAUUCAGGCCAGAGUCACGUAGUUCCAGGGGGUACUAUUGUCAUUUCUAGUCUAUUGACAUGCACAAUAACUAGCCAGUGUAAGUGGCAUAUCCCUGAGGACAUGCAAUGCAGCCGCCCUGUGGAAGAACAGGAGGGAACACUAACUCAGGUGCCUCAUGGGAGUGGCAUGGCGGGAAGCUGAUGGAGUUUGGGCUCAUGCUGGGCUGAUGCCCUCAGCUUCUCUCGCUUCUCUUCCCUCUCUUCUGCCCUCUCCCACAGGCUUCCUUGGUGAAGGGGACGCUGUCACCAAAGCCAUCCAGGAUGCUCGGCAGCUGCUGCACAGCCACAGUGGGGCCUUGGAUGGCUCCCCCAACACCCCCUUCCGUAAGGACCUCAUCAGCCUGGACUCAUCCCCAGCCAAGGAGCGGCUGGAGGACGGCUGUGUGCACCCACUGGAGGAAGCCAUGCUGAGCUGCGACAUGGAUGGCUCCCGCCACUUCCCCGAGUCCCGAAACAGCAGCCACAUCAAGAGGCCCAUGAACGCCUUCAUGGUGU
rnacentral:sRNA from 1 species